GAUGAACGCUGACAGAAUGCUUAACACAUGCAAGUCUACUUGAAUUUGGGUUUUUUAACUUAGAUUUGGGUGGCGGACGGGUGAGUAACGCGUAAAGAACUUGCCUCACAGUUAGGGACAACAUUUGGAAACGAAUGCUAAUACCUGAUAUUAUGAAUAUAUGGCAUCAUAUAAUUAUGAAAGCUAUAAGCGCUGUGAGAGAGCUUUGCGUCCCAUUAGCUAGUUGGAGAGGUAACGGCUCACCAAGGCGAUGAUGGGUAGCCGGCCUGAGAGGGUGAACGGCCACAAGGGGACUGAGACACGGCCCUUACUCCCACGGGAGGCAGCAGUGGGGAAUAUUGGACAAUGGACCAAGAGUCUGAUCCAGCAAUUCUGUGUGCACGAUGACGUUUUUCGGAAUGUAAAGUGCUUUCAGUUGGGAAGAAAAAAAUGACGGUACCAACAGAAGAAGUGACGGCUAAAUACGUG
rnacentral:rRNA from 1 species